UAGCUCAAUCGGUAAAGAAUCUGCCUGCAAUGCAGGAGACCCUGGUUCGAUUCCUGG
rnacentral:tRNA from 1 species